UACGUAGGGGGCAAGCGUUGUCCGGAAUUAUUGGGCGUAAAGAGCGCGUAGGCGGUCCGAUAAGUCGGCUGUGAAAGUCCAGGGCUCAACCCUGGAAAGCCGGCCGAUACUGUCGGACUAGAGUCCGGAAGAGGCAAGUGGAGUUCCCGGUGUAGCGGUGAAAUGCGCAGAUAUCGGGAGGAACACCAAUUGCGAAGGCAGCUUGCUGGGACGGUACUGACGCUGAGGCGCGAAAGCGUGGGGAGCAAACAGG
rnacentral:rRNA from 1 species